rnacentral:rRNA from 1 species
GUCCUUUUGAGUUUUAUUUAAGGUUUAACCUGCCCACUGAAUUUUGAAGGGCCGCAGUAAUUUGACUGUGCAAAGGUAGCAUAAUCAUUAGUUUUUUAAUUAAAAGCUUGUAUGAAGGGUUGGACGAGAUAAAAUCUGUCUUUAUUUAAGUUAUAGUAGAAUUUAAUUUUUAAGUUAAAAAGCUUAAAUUUAUUUAAAAGACGAGAAGACCCUAUAGAUCUUUAUAUAAAUUUUUAUAGUUUUAAUUAAGAAUAUUUUAUUUAUUAUUAAAAUUUAUAUUUUAUUGGGGUAAUAAAAAGAUUAAAUAAAUUCUUUUUUGAAUUAAACAUUGAUUUAUGAUUAGUUGAUCCAAUAUUUUUGAUUAAAAGAUUAAGUUACCUUAGGGAUAACAGCGUAAUUUUUUUAGAGAGUUCAUAUCGAUAAAAAAGUUUGCGACCUCGAUGUUGGAUUAAAAAUUAUCUUAGGUGCAGAAGUUUAAGAUUUUGGUCUGUUCGACCAUUGAAUUUUUACA